rnacentral:rRNA from 1 species
AGUGAGCGCUGGCGGUAGGCCUAACACAUGCAAGUCGAACGGCAGCACAGUAAGAGCUUGCUCUUACGGGUGGCGAGUGGCGGACGGGUGAGGAAUACAUCGGAAUCUACUUUUUCGUGGGGGAUAACGUAGGGAAACUUACGCUAAUACCGCAUACGACCUACGGGUGAAAGCAGGGGAUCUUCGGACCUUGCGCGAUUGAAUGAGCCGAUGUCGGAUUAGCUAGUUGGCGGGGUAAAGGCCCACCAAGGCGACGAUCCGUAGCUGGUCUGAGAGGAUGAUCAGUCACACUGGAACUGAGACACGGUCCAGACUCCUACGGGAGGCAGCAGUGGGGAAUAUUGGACAAUGGGCGCAAGCCUGAUCCAGCCAUACCGCGUGGGUGAAGAAGGCCUUCGGGUUGUAAAGCCCUUUUGUUGGGAAAGAAAAGCAGCAGGUUAAUACCCCGCUGUUCUGACGGUACCCAAAGAAUAAGCACCGGCUAACUUCGUG